rnacentral:rRNA from 1 species
GGCGAGUGGCGAACGGGUGAGUAAUACAUCGGAACGUGCCCAAUCGUGGGGGAUAACGCAGCGAAAGCUGUGCUAAUACCGCAUACGAUCUACGGAUGAAAGCAGGGGAUCGCAAGACCUUGCGCGAAUGGAGCGGCCGAUGGCAGAUUAGGUAGUUGGUGAGGUAAAGGCUCACCAAGCCUUCGAUCUGUAGCUGGUCUGAGAGGACGACCAGCCACACUGGGACUGAGACACGGCCCAGACUCCUACGGGAGGCAGCAGUGGGGAAUUUUGGACAAUGGGCGCAAGCCUGAUCCAGCCAUGCCGCGUGCAGGAUGAAGGCCUUCGGGUUGUAAACUGCUUUUGUACGGAACGAAACGGCCUUUUCUAAUAAAGAAGGCUAAUGACGGUACCGUAAGAAUAAGCACCGGCUAACUACGUGCCAGCAGCCGCGGUAAUACGUAGGGUGCAAGCGUUAAUCGGAAUUACUGGGCGUAAAGCGUGCGCAGGCGGUUAUGUAAGACAGUUGUGAAAUCCCCGGGCUCAACCUGGGAACUGCAUCUGUGACUGCAUAGCUAGAGUACGGUAGAGGGGGAUGGAAUUCCGCGUGUAGCAGUGAAAUGCGUAGAUAUGCGGAGGAACACCGAUGGCGAANGCNAUCCCCUGGACCUGUACUGACGCUCAUGCACGAAGGCGUGGGAGCAAACAGGAUUAGAUACCCUGGUAGUCCACGCCCUAAACGAUGUCAACUGGUUGUUGGGAUUCACUUUCUCAGUAACGAAGCUAACGGCGUGAAGUUGACCGCCUGGGGAGUACGGCCGCAAGGUUGANACUCAAAGGAAUUGACGGGGACCCGCACAAGCGGUGGAUGAUGUGGUUUAAUUCGAUGCAACGCGAAAAACCUUACCCACCUUUGACAUGUACGGAAUUCGCCAGAGAUGGCUUAGUGCUCGAAAGAGAACCGUAACACAGGUGCUGCAUGGCUGUCGUCAGCUCGUGUCGUGAGAUGUUGGGUUAAGUCCCGCAACGAGCGCAACCCUUGUCAUUAGUUGCUACAUUUAGUUGGGCACUCUAAUGAGACUGCCGGUGACAAACCGGAGGAAGGUGGGGAUGACGUCAAGUCCUCAUGGCCCUUAUAGGUGGGGCUACACACGUCAUACAAUGGCUGGUACAAAGGGUUGCCAACCCGCGAGGGGGAGCUAAUCCCAUAAAACCAGUCGUAGUCCGGAUCGCAGUCUGCAACUCGACUGCGUGAAGUCGGAAUCGCUAGUAAUCGUGGAUCAGAAUGUCACGGUGAAUACGUUCCCGGGUCUUGUACACACCGCCCGUCACACCAUGGGAGCGGGUUCUGCCAGAAGUAGUUAGCUUAACCNACAAGGAGGGCGAUUAC